rnacentral:rRNA from 1 species
AGAUUGAACGCUGGCGGCAUGCCUUACACAUGCAAGUCGAACGGCAGCACGGGAGCAAUCCUGGUGGCGAGUGGCGAACGGGUGAGUAAUAUAUCGGAACGUGCCCAGUCGUGGGGGAUAACGCAGUGAAAGCUGUGCUAAUACCGCAUACGAUCUAUGGAUGAAAGCGGGGGACUCGCAAGAGCCUCGCGCGAUUGGAGCGGCCGAUAUCAGAUUAGCUAGUUGGUGGGUAAAAGCCCACAAGGCGACGAUCUGUAGCUGGUCUGAGAGGACGACCAGCCACACUGGAACUGAGACACGGUCCAGACUCCGACGGGAGCAGCAGUGGGGAAUUUGGACAAGUGGG